rnacentral:rRNA from 1 species
CCUACGGGUGACAGCAGUGGGGGAUAUUGCACAAUGGGGGGAACCCUGAUGCAGCGACGCCGCGUGAGCGAUGGAGUACUUCCGUAUGUAAAGCUCUGUCAGCAGGGAAGAAAAUGACGGUACCUGACCAAGAAGCCACGGCUAAAUACGUUCCAGCAGCCGUGGUUAUACGUAAGGGGCAAGCGUUAUCCGGAUUUACUGGGUGUAAAGGGAGCUUAGGCGGCAUGACAAGCCUGAUGUGAAAGCCCGGGGCUCAACCCCGGGACUGGAUUUGGAACUGCACUGCUGGAGUGCCGGAGAGGCAGGCGGAAUUCGUAGUGUAGCGGUGAAAUGCGUAGAGAUUAGGAGGAACACCAGUGGCGAAGGCGGCCUGCUGGACGGUGACUGACGCUGAGGCUCGAAAGCGUGGGGAGCAAACAGGAUUAGAUACCCUGGUAGUC